AUCAAUUCUCAGCCUUUUGGCUAAGAUCAAGUGUCAUAUCUGUUCUUAUCCGUUUAAUAUCAGAUGUGUUCUCUGAGGACAAUAUAUUCAAUGGAUUUUUGGAGCAGGGAGAUGGAAUAGGAGCUUGCCCCAUCCAUUCCAGGCAUCGACCUGGUAUUGCAGCACUUCCAGAAAUGGUGCACACACA